GGGAGAGAUUAAAUAUCCAGCACGCAACCGCGCUGUUGCCAGAUUUACAUAGCGGGAAUUUUAAAAUUUCUAAUGCGAAUUGGUUUAAAAUUUGACAUCCGAAUCUUAACCUUACUUUUGUGAUUAUUUAUUUACAAAUGUAAAUAAAUUAAAACAAGUAUUGUAUGUACUGUGUUAUAAUUUAAAACGCUUAAUUAUGUUAGUCCUAAAAAAAUUAAGCCCAAAAGAGAUAUACUUGUUUACAGUGCAAAUUAAUGGCAAUAGGGAUUUACGAUUUCAUUUGCAGGAAAAACAUGGGCAACCUACCCAGUUGGUAAAAUUUCAAUUCAAAAACUCUUUAGAUUUUACUGUGUGGAUGGCACAGGAAGAGAAACAAAAUAAUAUUCAGUACUGCAGUCACAGGAGUACAAAAACAUGAAGCAUCUUAUUAUGUAUGUAUGCCAUUCUCAAACAAUAAUUAUUGUACAAAACAAGAUAAAGAUAGAGACACAGCUUUAAAAUCCCAAGGAUCCUGCGAAAAGAAAAGUGAAAAUGUUGUCUCAAUUAAUGUAGUAUAGAUAGACAUUUUUCUUUAUUUUAGUAUUAAAUAAUUAUUUAGAAUAUUAAUAUGUAUUAGUUUUAAUAGUAUUAAUAUGUAUUGUAUGAAUAAUUCCCAUCAUGUAUCUGCUAGCUAAAGCAACAAAAUAAAUCAAAAUGAAAAAACAUUUCA